GUCCACGCCUAACGAUGUCAACUGGUUGUUGGGAAUUCACUUUCUCAGUAACGAAGCUAACGCGUGAAGUUGACCGCCUGGGGAGUACGGCCGCAAGGUUAAACUCAAGGAAUUGACGGGACCCGCACAAGCGGUGGAUGAUGUGGUUUAAUUCGAUGCAACGCGAAACCUUACCCACCUUUGACAUGUAUGGAAGAUCGCAGAGAUGCGAUUGUGCUCGAAAGAGAGCCAUAACACAGGUGCUGCAUGGCUGUCGU
rnacentral:rRNA from 1 species